CCUGUGGGGUUCCCAUCCCCUUCAGGGCCUUCAAUCCUUCCCCUAACUCUUCCAUAAGAGUCCCUGACCACGCCGAUGCCACCAGUUGGGCGGGUAUGGAGGCGGUGCUCUGGGCACCUGGACCCUGCGGGGACAGUUGAUUGGCAGGGAAGGAGCCCGGGAGCCCCUAGUUCUCCUGCCCUAGGAAGAGAAUGCAGAGCAAGCUGUUUAAGAAAUUAAACAUCCUGGCAAUGUACAAUACCUUUGAAGAUGAGAGCCUGAGGCUUCGGCAGCUGAAGCUGGACAAUCAGAGGGCACUGCUGGAGAAGAAGCAGAGAAAGAAGCGCCUUGAGCCACUCAUGGUACAACCAAACCCAGAAGCCAGGCUGUGAAGGUUAAAGCCAAGCGGUAGUGAGGAACACACGCCGCUGGUGGACCCUCAGACACCUCGCAGCAAUGUCAUCCUACACACGGUCCAGCUGCUUUCCUUAAGCCAGAGGCUCAGGAUUUGGAAAGCAAGCUUCAGGUUCUCUCUGUGGGCUCCCCUACUCCAGGAGAAGGCACAGAAGGGAGUGCAGAUGGGGAAAGCCCUGUGGAGACAGCCUCCAAGCCAGACUUUCAGGAGAUUCUCCAAAAACAGGGCAUCUUGAGUAGUGUGAACUAUGAUGAGGAGGAGCCUGACAAGGAGGAAGAUGAGGGGGGAAACCUGAGCUCCCCGUUGGCUCACUCAGAGGAGAGUGCUGCAGCCAGCCAGAAAGCAGCCUUGGAGACAGGAGCUUCCAGUGUGACAGCCCAGCAGGGUGACACACAGCUCAGAGAAGUGGAGAACUUAGAGGACUUUGCAUAUAGCCCUGCCCCUCGGGGUGUCACGGUGAAGUGUAGAGUAACCAGGGAUAAGAAAGGCAUGGACCGUGGCCUCUUCCCCACCUACUAUAUGUACUUGGAGAAGGAGGAGAACUGCAAGAUAUUUCUUCUAGCCGGUAGGAAGCAGAAAAAGAGCAAAACAUCCAACUACCUGUUCUCCACAGACCCGACAGAUUUGUCUCGUGAAGGGGAAAGCUACAUUGGCAAACUCAGAUCCAAUCUCAUGGGGACCAAGUUCACAGUGUAUGACCAUGGUGUCAACCCAGUCAAGGCCCAGGGUCUCGUGGAGAAGGCCCACACCUGGCAGGAGCUGGCUGCUAUCUGUUAUGAAACAAAUGUCCUCGAUUUCAAAGGUCCCAGGAAAAUGUCCGUGAUCAUCCCGGGGAUGAACAUGAACCAUGAGCGCAUCCCUUUUCGGCCACGAAAUGAACAUGAGAGCCUGCUUUCAAAAUGGCAAAACAAAUCCAUGGAGAACCUGAUUGAACUGCACAACAAGGCCCCGGUGUGGAAUGAUGACACCCAGUCCUACAUCCUGAACUUUCACGGCAGAGUCACCCAGGCAUCUGUGAAGAUCUUCCAGAUAGUCCACGGGAAUGACCCUGACUACAUAGUCAUGCAGUUCGGACGCGUGGCUGAUGACGUGUUCACACUGGACUAUAACUACCCACUGUGCGCACUUCAAGCCUUCACCAUCGGGCUGUCCAGCUUUGACAGCAAGCUGGCAUGUGAAUGAGAAGCAGCAAGCAGGGGAUUUCUUCACCACAGAGCCUUCAGGAACAGAAAGCUGCUGCCCCCGCCCCCUG